rnacentral:rRNA from 1 species
GUAGGUGGCAAGCGUUGUCCGGAAUUAUUGGGCGUAAAGCGCGCGCAGGCGGUCCUUUAAGUCUGAUGUGAAAGCCCACGGGCUCAACCGUGGAGGGUCAUUGGAAACUGGGGGACUUGAGUACAGAAGAGGAAAGCGGAAUUCCAAGUGUAGCGGUGAAAUGCGUAGAGAUUUGGAGGAACACCAGUGGCGAAGGCGGCUUUCUGGUCUGUAACUGACGCUGAGGCGCGAAAGCGCGGGGAGCAAACAGGAUUAGAUACCCUGGUAGUCCACGCCGUAAGCGAUGAGUGCUAAGUGUUAGGGGGUUUCCGCCCCUUAGUGCUGCAGCUAACGCAUUAAGCACUCCGCCUGGGGAGUACGGCCGCAAAGGCUG